rfam:Myotis lucifugus cont2.30596, whole genome shotgun sequence.
GCCAGUUUGGCUCAGUGGAAAGAGCGUUGGGCCUGCAGACCAAAGGUCCCAGGUUUGAGUCCAGUCACUGGCA